AUACAGAGGGUGCAAGCGUUAUUCGGAAUUACUGGGCGUAAAGCGCGCGUAGGCGGAUGAUUAAGUCAGUUGUGAAAGCCCUGGGCUCAACCUAGGAACUGCAUCUGAUACUGGUCGUCUAGAGUUUAAGAGAGGGAAGUGGAAUUCCAGGUGUAGCAGUGAAAUGCGUAGAUAUCUGGAGGAACAUCAGUGGCGAAGGCGACUUCCUGGCUUAAAACUGACGCUGAGGUGCGAAAGCGUGGGUAGCGAACGGGAUCAGAUACCCUAGUAGUCC
rnacentral:rRNA from 1 species